CGACCGGCGCACGGGUGAGUAACACGUAUCCAACCUGCCGUCUACUCUUGGACAGCCUUCUGAAGGAAGAUUAAUACAAGAUGGCAUCAUGAGUCCGCAUGUUCACAUGAUUAAAGGUAUUCCGGUAGACGAUGGGGAUGCGUUCCAUUAGAUAGUAGGCGGGGUAACGGCCCACCUAGUCUUCGAUGGGUAGGGGUUCUGAGAGGAAGGUCCCCCACAUUGGAACUGAGACACGGUCCAAACUCCUACGGGAGGCAGCAUG
rnacentral:rRNA from 1 species